rnacentral:lncRNA from 14 species
GAGAAUGCUGUACAGGAAGAUGAAGUUGGGAAGAAGAGUUUGGACUUGGACACAGCCCUAAGAUGAUGCAUCCUCAAAGACGUCGUCGUCUCCCAUUUCAUCGGAACAGAAACCCAUGCUCCCUGCCAGCCAGCUGGACGACUUGGCAGUGUGCAGACGGCUGGCAUGGUUCUCCAGCUCAUGGAACCUAGAUAACUGUCACAGUGAGCCCUUGUGUCAGAGAACUCUGGCAUGGAGGAGCUUUCAAGACAACAGCAGACUGCACGGGACUGUAGUGACAACACUCAGAAAACACUGCACUGGAACUGCAUGCAGAACAGUGGAAUAAAGCACAGAAAGGAAAAACAAGUUUAAAGAGAGCAGACAUCAAAGUGGGGAAAUGAGACUGUAUUGU